rnacentral:rRNA from 1 species
GAAAGGGAAGCGCUUGCAAUCAGACCUGCCCGGGGGUGAUCGGUCGGGGCUUGUUUCCCGGCCAUCCUCACCCCCGAUCGGGCCAGCAUCGGUUUGGGCGGCGAGAUAAAAGCUUCGGGAAUGUAGCUUCUUUCGGGGAGUCUUAUAGCCCGGGGCGCAAUGUUGCCAGCCUGGACCGAGGACCGCGCUUCGGCUAGGAUGCUGGCGUAAUGGUUGUAAGCGACCCGUCUUGAAACACGGACCAAGGAGUCUAACAUCUAUGCGAGUGUUUGGGUGUUAAACCCGGGCGCGGAAUGAAAGUGAACGGAGGUGGGAGCCCCGUCGCACGGGCGCACCAUCGACCGAUCCAGAUGUCUUCGGAUGGAUUUGAGUACGAGCAUAGCUGUUGGGACCCGAAGAUGGUGAACUUUGCUUGAAUAGGGUGAAGCCAGAGGAACUCUGGUGGAGGCUCGCAGCGGUUCUGACGUGCAAUCGAUCGUCGAAUUGAGCAAGGGGCGAAGACUAUCGAACCAUCUAGUAGCUGGUUCUGUCGAGUUUCCUCAGAUAGCAGUACGUUUUCGUUUAUGAGGUAAGCGAUGAUAGAGGCUUGGGUUGAACACCUUACCUAUCUCAACUUUAAUAUGUAGAAGUCUUGUGCUUC